UACGUAGGGUGCAAGCGUUAAUCGGAAUUACUGGGCGUAAAGCGUGCGCAGGCGGUUUUGUAAGUCUGUCGGGAAAUCCCCGGGCUCAACCUGGGAAUGGCGAUGGAGACUGCAAGGCUAGAAUCUGGCAGAGGGGGGUAGAAUUCCACGUGUAGCAGUGAAAUGCGUAGAUAUGUGGAGGAACACCGAUGGCGAAGGCAGCCCCCUGGGCUAAGAUUGACGCUCAUGCACGAAAGCGUGGGGAGCAAACAGG
rnacentral:rRNA from 1 species